GUCAAUAAACUAUCUAUCUAUCUGUCUAUCUAUCUAUCUAUCUAUCUAUCUAAACCCAUAGAUCGUUGUGUCGUGGCGUCACGGUCCGGGUCUUCGGCAAGGCUGUUUGUUCUCUUCGGGUUCACGCUGGGCGGGUUUGCGAGGCGCUGGGCUGUGGACGCCCGGACAGGGAGUGACGGCCCAAGACGUGCUCGGAGCCUCCUGCAGACCCCCACCGAUCCCGCCCCCGCCCCGCCAGCUGCACGGAACGCAAGGUACUCGGCGGCACAGACGACGCAGAGGCUGUGUCGUCUGCGCCGUCGAGAGCCUCCACGCCUCGCGCAGAAGACGGCACAGAGACGGUGUUUGGGGGUCUUCCAGGAGGUUCUGCCCCGUAGUUGGGCGAUCACGUGUCGGGGGCGUCGACAGCCUCCGCCGCCGUCUCUACCCGACACAAGGGGAACAGCGCCGAGAAGUGGUCCCCGCAACCCCCGCCGAGUCCGAGCCCGAGGAGACAGCACCGACGAGGAGGCGGAUCACGAAACUUACGGCACAAAGAUUUAUGAAUUUAUGACCAACACACGGAGGCGGCGCGGCACCGAGUUGUGGAGAAAGGGGAUGAUCGUUGUGUCGUGGCGUCACGGUCCGGGUCUUCGGCGAGGCUGUUUGUUCUCUUCGGGUUCACGCUGGGCGGGUUUGCGAGGCGCUGGGCUGUGGACGCCCGGACAGGGAGUGACGGCCCAAGACGUGCUCGGAGCCUCCUGCAGACCCCCACCGAUCCCGCCCCCGCCCCGCCAGCUGCACGGAACGCAAGGUACUCGGCGGCACAGACGACGCAGAGGCUGUGUCGUCUGCGCCGUCGAGAGCCUCCACGCCUCGCGCAGAAGACGGCACAGAGACGGUGUUUGGGGGUCUUCCAGGAGGUUCUGCCCCGUAGUUGGGCGAUCACGUGUCGGGGGCGUCGACAGCCUCCGCCGCCGUCUCUACCCGACACAAGGGGAACAGCGCCGAGAAGUGGUCCCCGCAACCCCCGCCGAGUCCGAGCCCGAGGAGACAGCACCGACGAGGAGGCGGAUCACGAAACUUACGGCACAAAGAUUUAUGAAUUUAUGACCAACACACGGAGGCGGCGCGGCACCGAGUUGUGGAGAAAGGGGAUGAUCGUUGUGUCGUGGCGUCACGGUCCGGGUCUUCGGCGAGGCUGUUUGUUCUCUUCGGGUUCACGCUGGGCGGGUUUGCGAGGCGCUGGGCUGUGGACGCCCGGACAGGGAGUGACGGCCCAAGACGUGCUCGGAGCCUCCUGCAGACCCCCACCGAUCCCGCCCCCGCCCCGCCAGCUGCACGGAACGCAAGGUACUCGGCGGCACAGACGACGCAGAGGCUGUGUCGUCUGCGCCGUCGAGAGCCUCCACGCCUCGCGCAGAAGACGGCACAGAGACGGUGUUUGGGGGUCUUCCAGGAGGUUCUGCCCCGUAGUUGGGCGAUCACGUGUCGGGGGCGUCGACAGCCUCCGCCGCCGUCUCUACCCGACACAAGGGGAACAGCGCCGAGAAGUGGUCCCCGCAACCCCCGCCGAGUCCGAGCCCGAGGAGACAGCACCGACGAGGAGGCGGAUCACGAAACUUACGGCACAAAGAUUUAUGAAUUUAUGACCAACACACGGAGGCGGCGCGGCACCGAGUUGUGGAGAAAGGGGAUGAUCGUUGUGUCGUGGCGUCACGGUCCGGGUCUUCGGCGAGGCUGUUUGUUCUCUUCGGGUUCACGCUGGGCGGGUUUGCGAGGCGCUGGGCUGUGGACGCCCGGACAGGGAGUGACGGCCCAAGACGUGCUCGGAGCCUCCUGCAGACCCCCACCGAUCCCGCCCCCGCCCCGCCAGCUGCACGGAACGCAAGGUACUCGGCGGCACAGACGACGCAGAGGCUGUGUCGUCUGCGCCGUCGAGAGCCUCCACGCCUCGCGCAGAAGACGGCACAGAGACGGUGUUUGGGGGUCUUCCAGGAGGUUCUGCCCCGUAGUUGGGCGAUCACGUGUCGGGGGCGUCGACAGCCUCCGCCGCCGUCUCUACCCGACACAAGGGGAACAGCGCCGAGAAGUGGUCCCCGCAACCCCCGCCGAGUCCGAGCCCGAGGAGACAGCACCGACGAGGAGGCGGAUCACGAAACUUACGGCACAAAGAUUUAUGAAUUUAUGACCAACACACGGAGGCGGCGCGGCACCGAGUUGUGGAGAAAGGGGAUGAUCGUUGUGUCGUGGCGUCACGGUCCGGGUCUUCGGCGAGGCUGUUUGUUCUCUUCGGGUUCACGCUGGGCGGGUUUGCGAGGCGCUGGGCUGUGGACGCCCGGACAGGGAGUGACGGCCCAAGACGUGCUCGGAGCCUCCUGCAGACCCCCACCGAUCCCGCCCCCGCCCCGCCAGCUGCACGGAACGCAAGGUACUCGGCGGCACAGACGACGCAGGGGCUGCGUCGUCUGCGCCGUCGAGAGCCUCCACGCCUCGCGCAGAAGACGGCACAGAGACGGUGUUUGGGGGUCUUCCAGGAGGUUCUGCCCCGUAGUUGGGCGAUCACGUGUCGGGGGCGUCGACAGCCUCCGCCGCCGUCUCUACCCGACACAAGGGGAACAGCGCCGAGAAGUGGUCCCCGCAACCCCCGCCGAGUCCGAGCCCGAGGAGACAGCACCGACGAGGAGGCGGAUCACGAAACUUACGGCACAAAGAUUUAUGAAUUUAUGACCAACACACGGAGGCGGCGCGGCACCGAGUUGUGGAGAAAGGGGAUGGUUAGUUUGCCGGACCUGUGUGUGUGUGUGUGUGCCACUGCCCGCCGCGGAGGAUAAAUGGCACUGUUCCUCCUCCCUUCUUUCCCUCCUUCCCUUCCUUCCUUCCUUUUUUAUAUGGCGGAGUGUUAGAAGAUAGAGAACAUGAAAUAGAGAUGAAAUGAUGAGAGGUGUUGGCUGCACGGAUAAAUGGCACU